rnacentral:rRNA from 1 species
GUGAACCUGCGGAAGGAUCAUUAAUGAGAUCAUGCCCUUUGGGGUAGACCUCCCACCCCCUGUUUACCGUACCCGUUGCUUUGGCGGCCCCGUCGCGAGACGGGCCGCCAGAGGACCUUUAAACCCGUAUUAUCAUUGUCGUCUGAGUACUAUACAAUAGUUAAAACUUUCAACAACGGAUCUCUUGGUUCUGGCAUCGAUGAAGAACGCAGCGAAAUGCGAUAAGUAAUGUGAAUUGCAGAAUUCAGUGAAUCAUCGAAUCUUUGAACGCACAUUGCGCCCCCUGGUAUUCCGGGGGGCAUGCCUGUUCGAGCGUCAUUACAACCCUCAAGCUCUGCUUGGUCUUGGGCGUCACCCCCCAGGUGCGCCUUAAAAUCAGUGGCGGUGCCGUCUGGCUUCAAGCGUAGUAUUACUCCUCGCUUGGGAGCCCGGGCGUGCGUCUUGCCAAAACCCC